rnacentral:rRNA from 1 species
GAUGAACGCUGGCGGCGUGCCUAAUACAUGCAAGUCGAGCGAACGGACGAGAAGCUUGCUUCUCUGAUGUUAGCGGCGGACGGGUGAGUAACACGUGGAUAACCUACCUAUAAGACUGGGAUAACUUCGGGAAACCGGAGCUAAUACCGGAUAAUAUUUUGAACCGCAUGGUUCAAAAGUGAAAGACGGUCUUGCUGGCACUUAUAGAUGGAUCCGCGCUGCAUUAGCUAGUUGGUAAGGUAACGGCUUACCAAGGCAACGAUGCAUAGCCGACCUGAGAGGGUGAUCGGCCACACUGGAACUGAGACACGGUCCAGACUCCUACGGGAGGCAGCAGUAGGGAAUCUUCCGCAAAGGGCGAAAGCCUGACGGAGCAACGCCGCGUGAGUGAUGAAGGUCUUCGGAUCGUAAAACUCUGUUAUUAGGGAAGAACAUAUGUGUAAGUAACUGUGCACACCUUGACGGUACCUAAUCAGAAAGCCACGGCUAACUACGUG